rnacentral:lncRNA from 1 species
GGUCAAGACUGCCCCAGUGAGGGGGUGCAGUCGCAGCCCAGGUGGUCUCGGUGGGCCCCAGAGGUUUUGAGACUGGAGGGAUGAGUGAGGUCAGAAGAUCCUGGACCGUCAUCCUGUGUUGGGUGAAGCCCUCCGUGGGUGCCUCUUUGGGGGCGGAUAGUGUUGGUCCUCCCUGACCCAGACGUGUGAGCGUGCAAUGUGGCCAAGCCUGGGCUUCAGGAGGGGGGAGCACUGACCAGGUGCAGGGGUGGCCCUUCCCCAGACGGGCCGCCCUUCAGAGGGUCAGAGCCUUUCUGAGGAGACUCCUUCCAGGAGCAGCAAGGCCACGCUCUGAUGCAGCUCCAGCCCUCCUGGGGCUCGGCCUGGAGGAGGGGGCCGUGAAACCAAGCCGGGCCGGGAGGGUCGCCGCUCUCGGGUCAGUGGCCCUGGCCGUGGUGAGGAGGGGAGCGCCGCGCCUGCAGAGACUCCUAGCUGACAGCCGGCACGGUGGAGGUGUUCCCUACAGGUCUCUGCUCUGGUUUCUGCAGCGUCCGAGCCCGCUCUUCCUCUCCCGAGUCCGGGCCCGAGCCCGCUCUUCCUCUCCCGAGUCCGGGCCCGAGCCCGCUCUUCCUUUCCCUGAGUCUGGGAUCACCCCUCUGGCCUUUGACCUGCUCAGCACUGCAGCUGGACCGCUGGCCAUCAGAAACCUGACUUAGCCCCGGCAGUGGGGCGUCCUCCGUGUUUUCUGUCUGUUUUCUCAGUCCCUUCAACCUGGAUUCCCCUGCCUCACCAUGUUUGUUUCCCCCAAACCCAAAUUUGGGAACAUAGCCUGACAGGGAUUUCCCCACAUAUUUUUUUAGAAACUGCGAUACAGUUGAUUUACAGUAUCGUAUGCUUCAGGUGUACAGCGCAGCGAGGUGCGGUUCUUGUUAAAUGCUGUGCUCCAUCUGAGUUAGGUACUGUCGGCUCUGUUCCCUGUGCUAUACAACGUGUCGCUGACAUAUCUUACACUUAGCAGUUUGCGUCUCUUAGUUUGUGUCAUCUUGCCCCCACCCCCUUCCCUCUCUUCACCCCCGUCGUUUA